UACGAAGGGGGCUAGCGUUGCUCGGAAUGACUGGGCGUAAAGGGCGCGUAGGCGGUUCGUACAGUCAGACGUGAAAUUCCCGGGCUCAACCUGGGGGCUGCGUUUGAUACGUAUGGACUUGAGUUCGGAAGAGGGUCGUGGAAUUUCCGGUGUAGCGGUGAAAUGCGUAGAUAUCGGAAGGAACACCAGUGGCGAAAGCGGCUUCCUGGUCCGACACCGACGUUCAGGCACGAAAGCGUGGGGAGCAAACAGG
rnacentral:rRNA from 1 species